rnacentral:sRNA from 1 species
GCCGGGUGCAGUGGCGCACACCUGUAAUCCCAGUGGCUUGGGAGGCUGAAGCAGGAGGAUUUCGAGUUCAAAGCCAGCCUCAG